GGGCGGGGCUGGAGGACGAACAAUGCUAGCAAUGGCUGGAGAGAACCUGAAAAAGUUAAUCGUCUGUCACUUACACUCCCUGCCAGGUUUGCAGCAUGUGCCCGUCUGUUUGCUAUGAGAUGUCAUGCAAGUGAUGGAGAAGAAAAUCAAGUCAUCUUUGCAGUUUGUAGUUGACAAAGUCCACAAUUACCAACACACCACAGAGCAAAGACCAGGAUGUCAUGAAUUUGGAGCUGGAAUAAUAAACUACUACCCUGAACCUUUCAAAUCAACAAGUGUUAUUCUCUUAUUCGGGGUCAAUUCUUCCAAUACAGUUGCCAUAGUCUACUUACUGCAUGAUUUGUGUGGCAGUUCAUCAACAAAAUAAAGAA